rnacentral:tRNA from 1 species
GCCGGGGUAGCAUAGCUUGGUUAUUGCGCCGGGCACGCUCCCCGAAAGUCGUGGGCUCGAAUCCCACCCCCGGCA